rnacentral:rRNA from 1 species
AUUGAACGCUGGCGGAAUGCUUUACACAUGCAAGUCGAACGGCAGCACGGGGGCAGCCCUGGUGGCGAGUGGCGAACGGGUGAGUAAUACAUCGGUAAGUGCCCGGUCGUGGGGGAUAACGUAGCGAAAGUUACGCUAAUACCGCAUACGAUCUGAUGAUGAAAGCGGGGGACCUUCGGGCCUCGCGCGAUCGGAGCGGCCGAUGUCAGAUUAGGUAGUUGGUGGGGUAAAGGCCUACCAAGCCGACGAUCUGUAGCUGGUCUGAGAGGACGACCAGCCACACUGGGACUGAGACACGGCCCAGACUCCUACGGGAGGCAGCAGUGGGGAAUUUUGGACAAUGGGCGCAAGCCUGAUCCAGCCAUGCCGCGUGCAGGACGAAGGCCUUCGGGUUGUAAACUGCUUUUGUACGGAACGAAAAGGCUCUGGCUAAUAGCUGGGGCUCAUGACGGUACCGUAAGAAUAAGCACCGGCUAACUACGUG